UACGGGGGGGGCAAGCGUUUGUUCGGAAUUACUGGGCGUAAAGGGCUCGUAGGUGGCCAACUAAGUCAGACGUGAAAUCCCUCAGCUUAACUGGGGAACUGCGUCUGAUACUGGAUGGCUUGAGUUUGGGAGAGGGAUGCGGAAUUCCAGGUGUAGCGGUGAAAUGCGUAGAUAUCUGGAGGAACACCGGUGGCGAAGGCGGCAUCCUGGACCAACACUGACACUGAUGAGCGAAAGCCAGGGGAGCAAACGGGG
rnacentral:rRNA from 1 species